CCGGGCCGCCCCCCGCGGGGGCGGGGCAGGGCAGCGCCGGGGCCGAGCUGUCUGCCCGCCCUGACCUCUAGCCUGGGCGGCCGGCGUCCUUCCUCUUCCUCCGGCUGCUCUCCUGGGAGCGCGAAUAUAGGUCACGUGAGGCGCGAUUCCGAUCUGACGAGUUCAGGAUGCAAUCCUGGUCUUACUGAAGUGAAUUGCAGAGCUCCCGUACCUACAAUUCUUCUUAAGGUAUCACAGCAACAUGACAGCAUCAAAGAUUUCCAAAGGAAGGAUCAUUUCAGAGAUGUAGGCAUAACUUGCAGAUAGAUAGAUAUGUAUAUGAAAAAAUAUAUAUGUAUAUUUUAAGACUUAACAAAUGUCCUUCAUAACAUCCUCCAUGAUAUAAGAAGCUGGCAUUUGUUUAUUUCUGUAGAGAGAAAGGUAAUAAACCUUCAGAUCUGCAUAUGAAUGUCUGUGUUUUGAAAAUCUGACUCCAAUGGCACUCCAAAGAGGCCAACAGGUGUUUUGUCUGGGUAAUAAGAAUUGUACCAUACUCUUGAUAUUGCACCGUAUGUGGGAUAUAACUGAAUAUAACAUCUCCCUGUGUUGACCCAAAAAAGUACAAACAAAAAAACCCCACAGUUUUUCUGAAAAGUGGCUUUCUAAAGUGAAGUGCAGUAUUCCUGAUAAACAUGCUAAAAGUUUUAAUUAUUAACUAUUAUUCUAAAUUGAUAUUAUUAAGUAAUAUUUUAAUUUGUCUGCGGCCUAAUUUGGAAAAGCUGUACUUUGGUUUGUGUGUGUGUUGGUAUCAAACUUCCCAUGUUUUCUGUGCAGAAUCUAUAGAGUGUAUGUCAAGACUAGAAUAUUUCAUAGCUGCUUUCCUAUUUGAAAUUCCAAGAAGGAAGAAAGGAGUAAGUUCCCUUUUUAUCUUUCUUUCCUGUCUCCCUUAGUUACAUACGUGCAUUAUUAGGAAGAGAUGAUAAUCUCUAAUUCAAGUUGCAAACAUCUGCAGUUUCUUCCACAGUAUUUGAAGGGCUUAGAACUGUAAUGCUGACACUUUUACUCUCUGUGAAGCUACAGUGAGACUGUAUGGUUAUAUACAUGCUGUAUAAUCUUGACAUUUUAAUCUUAGAAUUCCCUGGUGUCAUCUUUUCAUAUACAUGUUUUGGAUUUCUCAGAUCUAUUGCUUGAGCUUCCCUAUCUUUCUGUGAGUCAUCUGUAGUUUCCUAAAGCAUUGUCUGCCCUGUUAUAAGUAAGAUAUGUCAUAACCUUUAUUUGAGCCUUUAAACUGGCUAAGUAUGUAUUUUCACAUGUCAGUUUUACCUGCCUGCUUUUAAGUAUCCCCUGCCUCCACUAUUGGCUUUUACCUUUGAGCCCUUCAUCAGCAGUUAAGUGUGGGUUUGCUAUCCACUACCAGGCAUAAGCAGAAAUGAAAUAACGUUCAGAACAUUUUCUGUACCUAGUGACUGGAAGCAUGGAUUCUCUUUAUGGUCUCUCCUGUUAUCUGUGUAGAAUACAACAUUUGUUGUUAAUCUUUUUCUGUUUUCUUGUUUGUUUUGAUGUCACAUUAGAAACAAAUAAAAUGAAUUGCUAAAAUCCAACUUAAUGGAUUUAAGGUGUUUUCAUCUAAACUGCCUACUCCAGUAGCCAGCAAAUCUAGCUUACCAGGGAAGACAGCAGUGUCAUCUUGAAUCCUGUCAGAUUUUCGUAUAUUUUCAUAGAGAUAGAUAAAUACUUCUUGACUGGCCUUGAUUGCUAAAGGCAGUGGGCUAUGUGCCUCAGUCAAGGCAGGGAGUAUUCAGCAGGCUGCCAGUUUGGGGUUCCAAAGACAAUUGUUUUAGUUUGUUUUUUCAGGCAGAUGAAACCAACGUUAAAUUCUCCAGGUGAUCUGUUCUCCAUUUGAGCAUGUUUUAUGGACAAGCAACCUUGGUGAUUACCCAAAACCCGCCAUGAUAGGCUACAUCAGGUAAAAGUUAUUUAAAGUACAGCUGAGAAUUGGGAGCAGACACCAUCUUAAUCCUUUAUGCUGGGCUCCUCAGGCCUGGUUACAAAUCUAACGCUGGUUCUGCCCUCCAUAAUCAGGCUGGAAAUAUUGAGUUAGAGAAAUAAAAAAUGACACAAAGUUUUCUUUAAACCUUAACACCUCAAAAGAAAACCGGAAAGUGUAGAUUAGAAAUUAAUUUAAACCAUGAAUUUGAAAUGAAUUUGAUAAGAUUUUAUCAAAAAGUACCUAUAAAAUCUCUGAAUUCAAUUUUAAGAAAGAUAUGCCUUCCACAAAAUGUUCACGUGUCCCUUUAACAUCGUUUAUAGUGUGUACUGGUUUAGAAGUUCUGUUCAAAUCUUCUGAUCCCUCUACUCAGACCUGGUGAGGCUACCUCUGGAGUGCUGGGCCCAUUUCUGGGCUCCCCAGUACAAGACAGACAUGGACAUACUGGAGAGAGUCCAUUAAAGGGCCACAAAGGUGAUGAAGGGACUGGAGCAUCUGUCAUACAAGGAGAGGCUGAGAGUGCUGGGACUGUUUAGCCUGGAGAAGAGAUGGCUUGGGGGGAUCUUAUUAGUGAUCUUAUAAAUACCUGAUGGGGAGAGUAAAAGAUGGAGCCAGACUCUUCUUCUCCUUGGUGCCCAGUGAGAGGACAAGAAGCAAUGGACACAAACUGAAAUCCAGGAAAUUCCAUGUAAACAUUUUUUUUUACUGUAAGGGUGAUCAAAUGUGAGAACAGGUUGCUCAGAGAGGUUGUGGUCUCCAUCCUUGGAGAUACUCAAAACAUGACUGGACACAGUCCUGAGUGGCCUGCUAUAGUUGACCUUGCUUGGAGCAGGGUGUCUGGACCAGAUGAUCUCCAGAGGUCCCUUCUGACGUCAACUAUUCAGUGAUUCUUUGAUUUCUUGUUAAUGUUUGGAAGAGUCUUCCAUGAGUGUGAAUGCUCUCAUAUGAGAAUUGAGGUCCCAUCCCACACAUUACAAAAUUUUUGUCUGUAAUAUUGACCAUGUUGCAGUCUGACAUUCUCAUACUAAUUGUAUGAAAGAGAGGUAACAAAGGGUUCUACAGUUAAGUUGGUAGAGGGGAAAACAAUGUAGAAAACAUUGAUCUUUCACAUAGUUUAUGGUACAUUCCAUGUACCUUUUCUGAGAUAAUUUGGGUUGCUUAAUGUUGGAGUGAGCUUUAAGAUCCUUAACUGAGUUGCCAGGGUAAAUUCAAUCCUUAAAUGUGUAUAAGGGAAGUCCUCGGUAAAACCAGUGUUGUCCAUGUACAGAUACUCAACCAGCAUAUUUCCACAAACAGAAUCUCAAAUUAGUCAGCAUAGAGAAUCUAAUUUUCACCCAGUCGUGUAUGAAACAAGACAGACUCCAAUCCAGCUCUUCUGGAGUUAGCAGGUUCCCCCUCCAGUUACCUGCUUUAUCGUUUUGCCAAGUGUUAUCACCAUAAAGCAAGAAUGGCAAAAUGACUGACAUGUCCCAGCUUACUAACUUGAUAUCCCAGGCAGUGAAGUAUAGGAGCUGAGGAGUAGACCCACUGCCUGUUUUGCUGCACCUGUUGCGUGAAGAAUAACUUGGCAACUGGAGUCAGUAACCUUUUUGGUUGCUACAUCUAAAUGUGGCAGGGCUGAUCAGAUCCCUUAGAUUAAACAAGGAUUUAUUUCAUAUAAAAUGAGAAAGCAAGUGUUCAUAAUAUUCUGCACCUCAUAGCUUCCUUCUGCUUAUGCCAUCCAGCUAAAUUGAUGUGUUCAGUUUUCUUGGGGCUUUUAAAGGCCUCAGUACCUCCAGCAAUGUCAGGAAAAGUGUGGAAUUAAGUACAUUUUAGCUAUAGAGUACUCUCUCUGCCUUUAAGAAAAAAAGAGGGAAAAGGAAUAAUACAUCAUUUAUGAAAAAAAUGCUUCCUGAUCUUAAGCAUUAAGAGCUGUUUUUAAAAUCCUUGACUAGAAAUUAAAAUCCAAAUAAAAAAGCUGCUUAUAAAUACUGUUGACCUCAAGUAUGAGAGGUCCUCUAUGUUUUUAAAGAGAACAUAAUACUUGAAGAGAGCAACAUAAUCCUGAAAUAAAGGUGUGCUUUGCCUAAAGAGAAAAUAGUAUGUGUUAGAUGGUGUUAAUUUUGCUUAGUUUUAUAUUUAGUAUGCUUUUAUAAUGUGAAAUUUUAUCAUUUUAUAAUGUAAUUUUUUAAAAGCAUGUGGUAUAUUUUAUUCACUUUUGUUUAGAAGAGUAAUUGGUAUCUCAAUUUUUCUGCAUUGUAUGUGUUCAUGAUUGGUGGAUUGCAGCUAUCUGUGUUUAAACAGCACUGAAAUAAUAAAUGAAUAUUUAAUGAGCCUCAUCUUGGUGGCAUUAGAAAAUAAAUUUCCAUUCUCUCAGGAAAUUAUGCUGAUCGUGACCUAAAGAAGCUGCUUUAGCUCAUUUCUUCUGUUCCCUUAGCUUAGAAAAGAUCCUCAAAAUGUCAGUGUAAGAUCCAAGCUAUGUCAGGAUAUACCUCAUCUCCGUCAAAGUAAAGAAAAUACAAACUUUUACCAAAGUAAAUUCUGAGUGAACUUAGGAAACAACUCAUUGUGCCUUACACUAUUUUUAGUGACCAUUCCUUACUUUUUCUUUUGAGUCAUACACCCUUAGUUAGCAUUUUUCCACUCUCCCCUUUGUUCUAAAGAUGUAGUUGGUGUUGUGAAAGUAUUCUUCAGAAUCCAGUUUCCAGCAGCAUUGUAAGAAAUGUUUACUUUGUUUUCUACUUUGGUAGUAGGCUCUGUGUUUUAUCAGUUUGGGCAAAAUAGAGACAUAAGACAUUAGCAUAGAAAAAAUACUACAAAUCAUGUUUCUUCACUAAGGCCCUAUUCACUGAAACCUGAAUUUAAAUGACGUAUUCAUCAGAGCACAUAACUAUAUGCUUGAACAGUCUGCUGGAUGGAGAUGGCCUUGAGAAUGUGCUUCACUAUCUUCUGUGCUAGACUGGAACUAUUCUAUUAACUUCUGGAAACAGAUGUUCCCAGUUGGGCUGCUGCUCUGUCCUCCCUUUUCAUUACACUGGCUUGCGUUGCACAGUGUGACUUCUUAGGUACUGUUAAAACUGUCCAGCCAACCCUUGCUUUGCUGUUUGAAAGGCAAGAACAGAACACAGAGAGUCAAAAAGAAGGAAAACACCUAGAAAUAGCUCCUAACUAGAGUUUUGAGGGGGAUUAUGAACGGUUUUCUGCACAAAACUCUAGUAUGAUCUCAGAGGACUCUUUGAAAUCCCCUACAAAUCACAUUUCACAGGAGUUGGAUAAAGAUCUGUGGGGUAAAUGCAGUUACAGGCCUGUGGUACAUCAUAAAAGGGGAUGAGUGACAAAAUUAAACUUGAAAUACCGUGAUUACUGUGGAAACAACUCACUGUUGUUAUGUAUUGUGAUGCUGCAAUCAUUCAGCUCUGGUGUAUGGUUCCAAGUACAAAGAUUAGAGUUGCUCCUGUAAUGAACACAUAAGCUAUGUAAUCUCCAUCUGGCUUUUAGUACUUCUCUGGAUAGCCACACUCUGAACUAAAAAUCAUUAGAAGAGAAUAGAAAAGCCUGAGGAUUUGGGGUAAGUCACUGUUUCCCAGAGACAACACAGAAACGAGUGACUACAAAAAAAGGAAAAGGAGGGGUUUCUCUGAUAAUUCAUGUUAUAUUUGUUAUUCUUCCUUUUAAACAGCUUUUAUACAUUUUUUGGACAUUGUAUUAAUUUUGGCCUAGUUGAACUUUUAUAUAUAUUUUACUCCAUCAUACAUAUUUUUUAUCAUUUUGUUUUCUCUUCUCUGAAGAGACAUUUGCUCCCUCUGAAGAGAGAUAUGUCUAGGAUUCAGAGGGAAGAGGUUCUGUUGGAGUGGAGAAAACUUAAUAAUGCUGUGGGUAUGAAGAUGAGCAGGAAGAGGAAGUGGCACUGGAAGGAAGGAGAGAGACUGUAUCAAAAUGGUGAGGUGAAGAAAAAACAGGUGAGAGAACAGCAAAAAGUAGGAAGAAUGUGGACUAAGAGGCUGUUUUAAUAGAAAGAAGGAUCAAUGGCAAAGAGAAGGUACACAGCGAGACAGUCCAUGCAGAGCAGUAAAGAAUCAUGAGAAUCAGUUUUAGGAAUGGCAUGAAAACACAAAAGUUUAGGAGACUGCAGGCGUUACCAGGCUCUUCCAAAAUGCAGUGUCUUUCAUUUGAGUAUAUAAUAGCCAUGUGCUUGCAUCUACUGAGGAACAUUCUUUUACAUAUUUACUUACUUAAGAAAUCACAAUAAACUGAACUGAUCAAGGAUUUUCUGAAUAGAUUAGCUGUGGUUAUACGUGUGUCAUUAAAACAUGUAUUGAAAGAUAAGAGCUGGCCACUUUGCAAGGCAGCCAAGCUCUGGAAGACAGUUGCUGAUUGUUAAGUAUCAGAUACUGUGGAAGUCACUGUCUUUCCUGAAGAUGAAAACCUUUUGCAUAAUCCUUUCGGUAUUAGCCCCACAUAUCCCCACUACAUUUGUGCAACUGGAGAUUCACAAUUUAUCAGAUGACUCCAGUUAGCACUAACUGAAAAAAAAAGAAAACCAUAACCCUCUCCCCCACUCAAAAUGCUGUGAGUGUCUAGCUAACUAUGGGGAAAAUAGGAGCUCUAGAGAAAAUCUGGAAUCCAUUAACUGAAAAACCUCUAAAAAGAUGAGAGGCCUGAUGCCUGGAGCUAGCCGCAAGUGGUCCUGAAGUCAAAAGCUAGGAACAUGUCAAAAAGAAAGCUCUUCCUCUUGUGAAGAAGAAACUGUACACUGUGAUUAGGUGCAGGGUACCACAAGAACAGGCACUUACUCCAUAGGUGAAGAACACACACAUACUGACAAAGAUUUCCAUAUAUUUGGCAGCAAGGCAGGGCUGAAUAAUUGUAUUUGAGGUUGGCUGUGGUAUUACUUGGUAGUAAAAUUUUGCCUGAACUUAAGAAAUGAUUUGAGCAAAGGUAGUUCUGUACAAUCUGCAUGGCAUUAUUGCCAUCUUGGCUUGGUAACACUUGACCAGAUGGUAACACAUUGAUAAGUAGUUCUACUGACGUUACAGCAAUUAGUCUAUUGGAAAUGCCAAUACUGAACACAAAGGCAGUCCUGCUAAUUAUCUAGAUGAAUACUAAGGUUGAAGUUUGUUUUCUUUAUGUUAAUAAGGGGUGAAUUGUGGGACAAGUUGAUUGAGUUGCAUAGUGACUUAAAUAUGAUAUCAAAUUAUAACCCCAAACUGUUCAUUAUAAUGUUAUUAGUAAAAGCCAGAGUAAUACAUCUCUGCAGCUCUUCCAUCCACUCACCUAUUUAAGAGAUAAGCUGAUCCAUUUCUGUUAAAGAGGAUCAGCAACCAUUAUGGAAACUAUUGAUUUACAUAUGUACAGGUAAAUUAAAUUAAAUUUGUGAUACGCUAUUGUACUUUAUUCAAAAAUCAGCAGUAUGCUAGCGCUUGGAAAGCUGGCAAAAAUUCUGAGCCAGACUCUGAUAUACUGCCACAUUGUCUCAAUCUAGUCCAUUUCAGUAGAGUAAAAAUAUUAUUCUGAUCCCUAAACAGCUAGAAAGGAGCAGUUUGGGAAUGGUACAGUACAGCCUCCAUAUGUAUCCUCAGCCUUAUCAGAAGGCUACAUGCCAGCAAUGCAGAUUAAAGCUUCUCAGCACCUGUGAUUUCUGCAGAUGUUCUGUGUGCUAUCAGGAAGUUGCAGGUAUCUCUCUGGUGAACUACAGUAAAACCAGUUGCCUGGACAUGCAAAGUGCAAGGACAAAAUCAAGAGCGUAACAAUUAGAUUCCACAAAUCCUUAGUGGUGUUCUGGAAAAGUCUGGGUGACUUUACCGUUCUAGUAAUCAACUAGGAUACUUGUUACUGCUUAUAAUUUCAAUCUGGAAUGUAACUAUUACAGAUAGCAAAUGAGUUAGUCACUAGCAGAAAAAUAUGGCGGUUUCUUGUGAGCCUACACCUCAUCCAGUCAACAGCCAGAACAUUACUAGGUAUCUUGCAUAUUUCUUGCAUGUACUUGCAGUUCAAGGAGUUGAGUCCAAAAUUUUAGUGUAUGUUUGUAGGGAUAUUUGCACUGCACUGGUUCUACAACACUGGUCAAUGCAAAAAGACCCCAGGCAUCCCGAGUCUUUUCAAAACUGUUAGUCCAGUGCUUCUCAUAAAUGCUAAAUUCACACACAGUUCUUCAAGCAAAAAUAUUCGUGUGAGGCUUCGGUUUUCAAAUUCAUGUCAGGAGGCUAGAGAGAUAUUCAGGAUUGUUUUAAUCAGAGAUAUGCGUCAGAUGAAGCUGCCUAUGCUUCAGGUCAUUGGCAGAUGCCAAAGGAGAUGAUGGAAAGAUCAAAAGAGAGAGGAGACGAGAAAAGAGUAUGGAGUUAACAUAGCACAUCUUAUUUUCUUUAUUUCUGGUGCAUUUAGGAGUGGUGAUUUUUCAGGUGGGAGAAGCAGCUUAGUGGGCACUGAAAAUCUUUAGAUCAGAGCUUCAAAAAUUGUAACACAUGCCAGUGUUGGCAUACAGACCAUUGCCAAGUGGCAUGCUGUCCAGCAAAGAGGCAAGAGCUGCUACUGCCAUGGGACUUCCAAGAGUUACUUCAGCUAUUACACUUCUUUCUCCUCAGACUGGCCAGGUUCCGCGGAGCAUGCUACCAAAGGUCUUUUUAUAGGUACUUACUGAGUCCUCCUCCAGGUUGCACUGUAUAUGUGAUCCACUUCCGGAUACCUCAUGUAUCUGAGCCGCAUUUGCCUCUCAAGUCUGGUUAUUCCUUCAAGAAGCUAGGAGAUCUCCAUGGAAAGCCUGCUGCAUAGGCAAGAACAUUACUGAGUUCAAGUUUAAAGUGGAGAGCUGUAAUAACAUUGAUUCUUCUCAUCAGAAAUUUCUGAAGCCUCUCUCUGAUCUUUCCUCCUUGGCAUUUUGCUUUUAUCUCAGGGACCAGAGCUUAGUUCUGUUGCAAGUGAAUGUAGCUCUGCAAAAGACAGUUAAGUUGCAUCAAUUUCUCAUAUGAUUUGGGCAGAAAUCUUCAAUGCCUUCAGAUUCUACCGGUAAUUGGAGAACUUUUUGAAACUCACUGUUUGAAGAACUGCCAAAGGAGUGAAUACAAAUAACUGUGCUAUAUCUGGGAACCACAAUAGAAAGGCUUUCAUAAUUUGCAAUCACGGUUUAUGUAAGUAGCUGAAAUACCAAAUAUGUUUUAAAAGCUUUAUCAGUCACUUAGAUGAGAUUCAGAGAAGUGAUAUUUGAUUAUAUUAACCACUGCGAAUUUCAGCAUCUGGAUAUUUUGUUUCAAUAGAGAUAUAUUAUCUGAUUCUCCUUUUAUUUAAAGUAUUUUAUAUGUGUCUUGAAACCCUGAGAUGAGCAGAUUUAUGCAUACGGAGCAUUUUUUGUAAUGACCCUUUAACAGUGACUGAAAGCACCCUUAUUUUUAGAGGAGUAUUGAGCACUAGGUUUGAGACCCAAACGUCUUUACGUUUUAUGUGAAAUCUCUUUACAGUAGAAACUCUCUUCUCCGUAAAUACCUGGGGAGAAAGGCAACACACAAGCCCAGAAUGAAGAGAAGAUGAAAGAAAAUUCCAGAUCAUAUGUGGAGGCAGAGAGGAUUAAAAAAUAGCAGGUAGCUGGGAGCAUGUCACAACACAUCAAAUCAUGAUGGAAAGGCAGAAGACAACUUUUGGAGUGUUCCAUUUGGAAGAUGGUAAAAGAUCUGCUCUACUCUGACUGAAAUCCAAUGAAGAAAGCUUGCAAAGUAGCUGUUGGGGAUUAUUACAAUUCAGUGAGUGGCCAGCACAUCUCCUGGCUGAUCUCGGGGUAAGGGAAAUUCAAAGGCAGCUUAAACAUAUUCAUCCAAAACCAAAUACACACCCAUAAUCUUGUCUCGAGCACAGAAACAGAAGAAUGGAACAUGUGUUCAUGGAUCUUUCCUGUCCACUCCCUCCUCUUUCCCAGUUUUAAGUACCUGGGGCAUAGUCAUAGAUAGAAAAUGGAAAAUGUUUCCUCAUCUUUUUCUUUUCCUGGAGAAACCUGACACUUUGAAAAAUAAGGAGUAAGCUUAUGCUGCCCUUACUGUCUGAAAGCAACUGGAUGUAAUGUCAUGUGGCAGCUCAAAAUCUCAGUGUUACGGAACCGUGAAUGUUGUUGGGGCCUGGAUAUAGCAUUAUUCCAGUGAUACGUCUUUUUUCUGCUUUUUGAAAAUGAAUUUUCCACUAAGAUUAUGACUGCCAGAUUUCCUGCACCAUUUUCUACCCUCAAAUAUCUUAGAGGCUCCCAUCAUCUUAACACAAACUAUAAAAGGAAUGAUGUGGCCCUGGGACCACCUAUGUGCCUGUUACUAUGACACUUCAGACCACUGGUAGGCUGAAGAUAAGCCUUUUGAAACCCUUGUGUGAGUGAAUAGCCUUGCUCCCCGCUUACUAAAUUCAUUUAACUAGCUACAUUGUCAGCUUAUACUGUGAGCCGUGCAUUCUUUGAGAUGAAGCAUGUUACUCUUUAAAUAAUAGUGUAAAUUGAAAUAUUUAUUCCUUCAAGAAAAAAAAGAAUUACAGAAAUAUCUUUAACUGUGGCAUGUGAUCUUUUCUGUUUUUAAUGUAUCUGCUCAGCACAACUAAUGAUUAGAUAAAUAGACAUUCAGUCCUUUUAGACAAAAGCUUUUAAAGUCACAUUUUCUUUUCUUAAUUUGAAAGGGGUGAAGGAUAAAAUGCAUGAGAAAAGUCAGAUUUUUCUGCCAAAUGCUGCAUAGUGGAAACCUUCUUGUAUAAUGAAGUGUUAACUAAGUCAUGCUUUUGCAGAAUGAUUUAAAGUGUGAUUUUACCAGCAAGAGAUUGUAAAAAAAAA